UUGUCUAUCUGUCAAGCUGGAGAA
rnacentral:miRNA from 1 species